GAACUCUAGUGACUCCCUUCCAGUAGAGCCAGACAAGGAUACGCUUUAAGUAGUCGUCAUGGAAACCAGAGAACAUAGCUCUUCUCCAAGGUCUGAAGGAAGGAUGAUGAGAAGUUUAAGUGAUUUCCAUGGAAACCGAGAACAGAUUCAGUGCUGGUUCAGAUCCCUAGCGCAUUAGCUAGCAGGCAAGUGUUCAGGGAUGGUGAUGCUAGAAGAUCUGAGAGCCUGAUUCUUAGCAUCAGGCCGACCCCGGUGCCACUUCCAAGCCAGAUUCGAAUUAGCCGGUGGGGUCAACAGCAAGGUGACCAUACUCCCACAGAGCUUAGCCCUUGCCUCCUCUGACUCAAGAUGUAGUUUGAGGCUCCCCUUACUUAUCCUGUCCAGUGUUGCCCCCUUGCUCUCUACUACUUUCCUCACCAGAGUGGGUACCCCACAGAUCUGGGGUCACAAAAUGGAACCUUGGUCCUGUUUGUAGGAGUCAAGACUCUUUUAAGCAUCCGGCCCUGAUUUCCCUGCAGCUUUAACAAGAUGUUUCCCUUUGCAUAUUCAUUAAUGACAAAAAUGAAGCUAGACAUUGCUGCCUUAAAUAAAUAGCAGUACUGGAAGUGCUUCUAAUAGCCUGAGAGUGGAUAGCGGUGCUCAGCAGGCCGCUGUUUUCUUCUGUUAUUUGUUCCCUUCAUAUGUUCCCUUUCACAAGGAGCUAACAAUGAGCAAAACAGUCCAGAGUUCCUGGUACCAAGCGGGAGACAGACUAUCAAGAACACAUAUCAGCGUGUCAGAAGGGGUUUGAUCUGUGGAUUCAAACAAGGGAAGACCAAGGCAAGGAAGAUCGGAGGUAGGAGGAUGGCAGUUCCCAAAAGGACAAAGUGGCAGAAUAAAGGAAAGGGAUCAUGAUCGGCAUCAAUGUGAAAAAUUAAAUAUGAUUCCAGUGCCAUUGAGUAACUGCCUGGGGUUUUCCAGCAUGGUGUCAAGAACCCCCCAGGAUAACUGUGCAGUGUAAUGAAGCAGCUAUGAAGAACUGAGGAUGUCUUCAAGGGGUAAACUAGUAUAGACUCAGUAUGUUGCUAUGGCAAAAGAGCAAAUGCUUCCCAGAAUUCAACAUGCAUGUAAGCAGGGGGCUGGCAAGAUGGCUCAGCAGGGUUGGAAGCUAAUGCCAAAGUAAAUACUUCCUGGGCAUUCUCCGGCUGGCAGAGCCUGUGUAGCUGCGUCUCCUGCCUAGCUUAGCUCAUUCAGAGAAAAGCACACAGUCUGCGGAUAUCAUCUCUGUAUCAGAAGGGACUCUGAGCAUCAUCCUGGGAGAUCGAGACUCUUCCAUUUAUUUCCUUUCCCUGUUUUUAAAGAUGGAGCUGCACCUGGGACAGGUGUAUGGGAAUGGAACUUUCAGGGAACUGGGGACUCCAGGAGAAAGGCAUCAACUCCAGAGCUUGGCAUUUGGUGUGGACUCUGCCUCCCGACUCAACUUCCUGUACAGUCCCGGACCUGUGGCUGAGAAGUGCUCUGCUAAUCUUCUGGGUCUUGAGGGAUCUCAAGAGCACAGAGUUGUCACACGGCAGAAUCUGGUAGCAGGGAUCCGGGACCAUCACAUUCUAUGAGAAGUCUGGCUCCAUUUAUACUAACUGAAGAGACCAGGCCAGAAAGCGGACGAACUCUGCAUUUGGAGAGGCUGUGGCGCUGUGAAGGGUGAUGCUCGGCAUGUCCUCAACUCUCGGCAUCUUCUUCCAUGUUCUGAGAAGAAUAUGAGAAUCUUCAGAAGAUAAGAGCACCCUGCCCUCUUACAUCCUCGCUUCAGCCAGGAGCCUUGCCUCUGGGGAUCUUUCUGUCAGAGAUGCCUCCUGCCUUCCUCUCAUCCUCAUCUGUUCUCCAAACCCCCAAUGCUCUCUCAGUGGGGGUCUCUCUGAAAGUGUGCACCCCUUGAGCUCUUCCUUUUCUAGAGUGCAAUUAAACAAAACAAAACAAAAAAACUAAAAAACACUAAGCAUGUACCUGCCACAAAUAAUAUACCUCCCACCCCCUGCUUUUUAAAAAUGAGAUGUUUGUACAA